UGGCGUACGGGUGAGUAACACGUGGAUGAUCUACCUCCUAGUGGGGGAAUAACUCUGGGAAACCGGAGCUAAUACCGCAUAAGCUCGGAAGAGGAAAGCAGCAAUGCGCUGGGAGAGGAGUCCGCGGCCGAUUAGCUAGUUGGUAGGGUAAAGGCCUACCAAGGCGAUGAUCGGUAGCCGGCCUGAGAGGGCACACGGCCACACUGGCACUGGGACACGGGCCAG
rnacentral:rRNA from 1 species